GAUGAAGAACGUAGCGAAAUGCGAUAAGUAAUGCGAAUUGCAGAAUUUCCGUGAGUCAUCGAAUCUUUGAACGCACAUUGCGCCCAUUGGCAUUCCGAUGGGCAUGCCUGUUCAAGCGUCAUUAUCCUCCCUCAAACCCCUGGGUUUGGUGUUGGACUGUGUGGUGCCUGGCACCACUGGUCUCAAAGACAAUGACGGCGUCCGUGGGACCCUCGGUGCAACGAGCUUUUCGAAGCACGCGUCGAGUGGACAGUCUCUCCGGGCCGGUCACCUCUCCAAUUUUUCUCAGGUUGACCUCGGAUCAGGUAGGAAUACCCGCUGAACUUAAGCAUAUCAAUAAGCGGAGGA
rnacentral:misc_RNA from 1 species